rnacentral:rRNA from 1 species
UACGUAGGGGGCAAGCGUUAUCCGGAUUUACUGGGUGUAAAGGGAGCGCAGGCGGCGUGGCAAGUCAGAUGUGAAAACCCGGGGCCCAACCCCGGGAGUGCAUUUGAAACUGCCAUGCUGGAGUGCCGGAGAGGUAAGCGGAAUUCCUAGUGUAGCGGUGAAAUGCGUAGAUAUUAGGAGGAACACCAGUGGCGGAGGCGGCUUACUGGACGGUAACUGACGCUGAGGCUCGAAAGCGUGGGGAGCAAACAGG